GAUGAACGCUGGCGGCGUGCCUAAUACAUGCAAGUCGAGCGAACAGACGAUGAGCUUGCUCCUCUGACGUUAGCCGCGGACGGGUGAGUAACACGUGGAUAACCUACCUAUCAGACUGGUAUAUCUUCGGGAAUCCGGCUCUAAUACCUGAUAAUCUCUUGAUCCGCAUUGUUCAAUAGUUAAAUACGGUUUUUCUGUCUCUUAUAGCUGCAUCCCCGCCGCAUUAGAUAGUUGUUAAGGUAACGGCUUACCAAGGCAACGAUGCGUAGCCGACCUGAGAGGGUGAUCGGACACACUGGAAAGGAGACACGGUCCAGACUACUACGGGAGGCAGCAGUAGGGAAUCUUCCGAAAUGGGCGAAAGAUUGACGGAGAAACGCCGCGUGAGGGAUGAAGGUCUUAGGAUCGUAAAAAUCUGUUAUUAGGGAAGAACAAAUGUGAAAGUAACUAUGCACGUCUUGACGGUACCUAAUCAGAAAGCCACGGCUAACUAAGUG
rnacentral:rRNA from 1 species